rnacentral:rRNA from 1 species
CUAACAAGGAUUCCCCUAGUAACGGCGAGUGAAGCGGGAAGAGCUCAAAUUUGUAAUCUGGCGGUCUGGCGGCCGUCCGAGUUGUAAUCUGGAGAAGCGUUUUCGGUGCCGGCCCGCGUACAAGUCCCCUGGAACGGGGCGUCGCAGAGGGUGAGAAUCCCGUCUCUGACGCGGUCYGCCGGCGCCGUGCGAUGCGCUCUCGAAGAGUCGAGUUGUUUGGGAAUGCAGCUCAAAACGGGUGGUAAAUUCCAUCUAAAGCUAAAUACUGGCGAAAGACCGAUAGCGAACAAGUACCGUGAGGGAAAGAUGAAAAGCACUUUGGAAAGAGAGUCAAACAGUACGUGAAAUUGUUGAAAGGGAAACGCUUGAAGUCAGUCGCGUCUCUCGGGACUCAGUCGGACCCUAGGGUCCGACGCACUUCCCGGGUCGGACGGGCCAGCGUCGAUUUCGACCGCCGUAAAAAGGCGUGAGGAACGUGGCACCUUCGGGUGUGUUAUAGCCUCGCGUCGUAUGCGGCGGACGGGAUCGAGGAACGCAGCGCGCGUCCCCUACGGGGGACACGGGGUUCGCCCACGUAACGCGCUUGGGACGCUGGCGUAAUGGCUUUAA